rnacentral:rRNA from 1 species
AUUGAACGCUGGCGGAAUGCUUUACACAUGCAAGUCGAACGGCAGCACGGGGGCAACCCUGGUGGCGAGUGGCGAACGGGUGAGUAAUAUAUCGGAACGUGCCCAGUCGUGGGGGAUAACGUAGCGAAAGUUACGCUAAUACCGCAUACGAUCUACGGAUGAAAGCGGGGGAUCGCAAGACCUCGCGCGAUUGGAGCGGCCGAUAUCAGAUUAGGUAGUUGGUGAGGUAAAGGCUCACCAAGCCAACGAUCUGUAGCUGGUCUGAGAGGACGACCAGCCACACUGGGACUGAGACACGGCCCAGACUCCUACGGGAGGCAGCAGUGGGGAAUUUUGGACAAUGGACGCAAGUCUGAUCCAGCCAUUCCGCGUGCAGGACGAAGGCCUUCGGGUUGUAAACUGCUUUUGUACGGAACGAAAAAGCUCUUACUAAUACUAGGAGUCCAUGACGGUACCGUAAGAAUAAGCACCGGCUAACUACGUGCCAGCAGCCGCGGUAAUACGUAGGGUGCGAGCGUUAAUCGGAAUUACUGGGCGUAAAGCGUGCGCAGGCGGUUAUAUAAGACAGAUGUGAAAUCCCCGGGCUCAACCUGGGAACUGCAUUUGUGACUGUAUAGCUAGAGUGCGGCAGAGGGGGAUGGAAUUCCGCGUGUAGCAGUGAAAUGCGUAGAUAUGCGGAGGAACACCGAUGGCGAAGGC